UGCUAAUAAGUGUUUGUUAAUCAAGGUAAGUUCACAUCUUCAUUAUUGAUUUUUAGUAACUUUUGGUGACUACACAAUACUACAAUUUGGUAUACACGGUUAUGCAGAAAAUGUAUGAGAGCUUUUUAUUUUCAGUUGGAAUUUCGUUUUUAACAAUGCUACCAACCAGACGUACAAGCUUAGAGGCCGCAGAACUCGACAUCAUUUGGGGCAACAAAAGUUAUACGAGACAAUUUUUUUUUAGUUUUAAAACCAUGUAGCUGGUGCAAAAUAUGUCGAGUCAGUGAUGUGUUUAUUUUGUAAACAAUAAAUCAAAUUACUAAUAAUAGUCUAUAAUCCGAAGACUUAAUCAGCAACAUUUAUAACAUGUUGUAUUUUAUAGUGGCAUGAGCAAGAUGUUCUUGGUAAAGCCUACUACCUAAAGCUGCCGUGGAAGGCUGUUUAAUGUCGAGAUUCAGGGAUUCAAAUAUAUCAUCAAACAGGUUCCUUAUUGCCAGUGCCUGUUGAAGACUAUACAUUUUUGCAAAUAUAUUUUAUGGACAAUUCAGCAAGAGAAGUCGAUCAGCGUUGCGCACACAACAACUCAGUAAAGAGAUCCAUUGUGAUGAACAACUUCAAACAUUUUUCCUUCAACACAAUGAAUUAGUUGCAUUAGACCGAUGCAUUAGACAUUCACAAAUGCAUUAGACCGCAUGCCAUCAGAUAAUCACAAAAUUGUCAUCAGAGCCGAUAAGGCGCCUGCAGAACAGCGAAAUGAUUGAAUCCUAUGAAAUAAACACUAUUAUGAAAAUA